CCCUAUUUUUGUAGGUUUCCAUGGUACUUUGCAGCUGUCAGUCUAAGGCUGCCUUCAAUUAGCACACAUGCAAUGUUAAGGUGAGUAGCAGAGAUGCUACUGAUCCGUGGAAAGAAAAACAUUAUUAAUAUGUGGCAUUCUAGAAAUAAUUAUGCUGUGAUAUUUUUCUUCUACUCACUGAAGACUAUUAAUAGUACAUUUAAAGACGUAUCAUGCCUACACAAUUUGUGUCAAUCAAAUCCCUGAUCUUUAACAUAUAUAUUUUAGCUGAAAUGGAAAAAAAUAAAUGAAAACAGACUUAAUUUUGUUUCCUUUCCCCUACCAUCUAACCUGAGGCUGAUGGUUUACCAUGGGUCAGACCCACUGCAAACCAAGUCUAGGAUUCUUCAAGAAGCAGCAGCCUUCCUGCCCCUCAUCUCUUUGCUGCUGACUCUACCAUGAUGCCACCUCCACACCAGACAAAUCUGAGGAGCCUCAAAUAGCAAGAGUGAGACUGAGCCAGUGGGUGCUGAUAACGUGCGUUUAUCUGCCCAAAUGGAAUCUACACUCGUCCAUGAGACUUCUGACCUUUUCCCUUAUCGAAAAGUUCCAGCCUCUGUGCUUGUCCUGGAGUGUACGUCAUGUUGAACAGCAAGAGUAACUACGAGCUGGUCAGAGACCUUUACGGUCUGGUCAAGAGACUGCUAAAAGGGCUCUGUGGCUUGAGGACAACGGCCUCAUCACACAAAUGCUUGGUAGAGAGAAUGAGACUAAAGCCACCUUUGAGGAGGCAGCUGUGUUUGUUGGGCUGGUCACCACCCCCGUGGGGCGUGUCACGUUGGUGAGGCGGCCCUCGUGGUCAUAGCUGGAGAAGAGAGACACUGAUGAGCAGCAGUUCCUGGGGCCGAAGACUUCCUCAAAACUCAGAACCCCACCAGGGAUAGACUCAUGGGGCUAGAAAAGGAGAGAGGGGGAAGGUGGGGUGGCCAGGUGGCGCAGCAUGCCCCCCUGCCCUGGGAAAUGCUGAUGCUUUCUACUACCCACCCAUUUAUCUAACAACAUACUCAGUGAAAGCAUUUCACCUCAGGCAAGGGGUACUUAAUUACGCUUUCCCAAGUCAGUGAGAAGAGCUACCUGAUGCUCUUUAAUUUGGGUUCUACAAAGUAAAGGACUAACUAAUAAUGAACAAGAAAAUCUGAAUAGGAGACUGACUCAUGAAUCAAAACCCUCCCACCAAACAGAAGUCCACGAUCACU